rnacentral:rRNA from 1 species
UGGGGAAUUUUGGACAAUGGGCGCAAGCCUGAUCCAGCCAUGCCGCGUGCAGGAUGAAGGCCUUCGGGUUGUAAACUGCUUUUGUACGGAACGAAAAGGUGCCUUCUAAUAAAGGGCGCUCAUGACGGUACCGUAAGAAUAAGCACCGGCUAACUACGUGCCAGCAGCCGCGGUAAUACGUAGGGUGCGAGCGUUAAUCGGAAUUACUGGGCGUAAAGCGUGCGCAGGCGGUUUUGUAGGACAGAGGUGAAAUCCCCGGGCUCAACCUGGGAACUGCCUUUGUGACUGCAAGGCUGGAGUGCGGCAGAGGGGGAUGGAAUUCCGCGUGUAGCAGUGAAAUGCGUAGAUAUGCGGAGGAACACCGAUGGCGAAGGCAAUCCCCUGGGCCUGUACUGACGCUCAUGCACGAAAGCGUGGGGAGCAAACA